UCCCAGGAUGGAUUUUGGGGUUUCAUCCCCCUGGAUUUCCCCCCCAGAUCUCGGGGGAGCUCCAGUUUGGGGUCCGGUGGGUGGAGCAGCAGCUCCUGGAAAAGGGGGAGUUUUGGGGAUCUCUGGAGUUCCUGGGAGACCCCAAGCCCUGCCCAGACCCACCUGGGACCCCCUAAAAACCCUGAGGGGGGUCCCAGGAGGGAUUUGGAGGGUUCAACCCCCCAGAACCCCCCAGAUCUCAGGGGAGCUCCAGUUUGGGGUCCGGUGGGUGGAGCAGCAACUCCUGGGACAAGGGGGAGGGGAGUUUUGGGGAUCUCUGGAGUUCCUGGGAGACCCCAAACCCUGUUGAGCCCCCCCAGGACUCCCCAAAACCCUGGGAGGGGUCUCCCAGGA